UACGUAGGGUGCAAGCGUUGCCCGGAUUUAUUGGGCGUAAAGGGCGCGUAGGCGGCUCUGCACGUUCGUUGUGAAAUCGCCCGGCUCAACUGGGCGGGGUCAGCGGAUACGGCAGAGCUUGAGCAAGCUAGGGGGCAAUGGAAUUCCCGGUGUAGUGGUGGAAUGCGUAGAUAUCGGGAGGAACACCAGUGGCGAAGGCGACUACCUGGCCUGUUCUUGACGCUGAGGCGCGAAAGCUAGGGGAGCAAACGGG
rnacentral:rRNA from 1 species